rnacentral:rRNA from 1 species
UAGGGAAUCUUCGGCAAUGGACGAAAGUCUGACCGAGCAACGCCGCGUGAGUGAAGAAGGUUUUCGGAUCGUAAAACUCUGUUGUUAGAGAAGAACAAGGACGUUAGUAACUGAACGUCCCCUGACGGUAUCUAACCAGAAAGCCACGGCUAACUACGUGCCAGCAGCCGCGGUAAUACGUAGGUGGCAAGCGUUGUCCGGAUUUAUUGGGCGUAAAGCGAGCGCAGGCGGUUUCUUAAGUCUGAUGUGAAAGCCCCCGGCUCAACCGGGGAGGGUCAUUGGAAACUGGGAGAAUUGAGUGCGGAAGAGGAGAGUGGAAUUCCAUGUGUAGCGGUGAAAUGCGUAGAUAUAUGGAGGAGCACCAGUGGCGAAGGCGGCUCUCUGGUCUGUAACUGACGCUGAGGCUCGAAAGCGUGGGGAGCAAACAGG